CUCCCAGACACCCGCCCUCUCUGGUCGGUACCUUCUGUGUGGCAGCUGGAAGAGAGGAUGGUGUUCGGAGGUCGGAAGAUGUAAGGCAGGCAGGCUACAUCACCGAUAGGUUUAUGUAGGAUCUCUCCCAGAUCUGCAAAGCCAGGAAGCCUGAGGAAGAACUGGCAGUGGACCCCAUUUUGCCAUCAGCACCAGGAAGAGCUGCUUACAUUUCUGCAUGCAGCUCAAACUCAGAAGCCCCCAAGCAAGCCGGGAUAUAAGCACUUCAUUGGCUGGAGCUCAUCAGAGCAGGAUUUGCUGAGUAAGUCAGUCCUGCCUGUAAACACACACUGAACAACACUGUCCAAAAUCAGCUUCCACCUUUUUUUCCUUCUCCUGGUCAGUUUCUCUUUCAGAAAUAGAAAUCCAGCAGGAUACGGGAGCACUGAGGAUAAAUGACCAUCUCUUAUUCAGCUAGAAGAUCAGAUGAAACAAAGGCAGCACAGAGCCCUGCUCCGGGGAGAGACUGCUGUUAAGAGGAGUCGCCCUGUCAAGCCAGGGAUCUCAGGAAUAUUAAAGUACUGUGCAAUGAAA